rnacentral:rRNA from 1 species
AUUGAACGCUGGCGGCAGGCCUAACACAUGCAAGUCGAGCGCGCGGCGGACGGGUGAGUAAUGUCUGGGAAACUGCCUGAUGGAGGGGGAUAACUACUGGACACGGUAGCUAAUACCGCAUACCAUCAGAUGUGCCCAGAUGGGAUUAGCUAGUAGGUGGGGUAAUGGCUCACCUAGGCGACGAUCCCUCGCUGGUCGGAGAGGAGGACAAGCCACACGGGAACGGAGCCACGGCCCAGACUCCGACGGGAGGCAGCAGUGGGGAAUAUUGCACAAUGGGCGCAAGCCUGAUGCAGCCAUGCCGCGUGUAUGAAGAAGGCCUUCGGGUUGUAAAGGACUUUCAGCGGGGAGGCGUUACCCGCAGAAGAAGCACCGGCUAACUCCGUGCCAGCAGCCGCGGUAAUUC